CUGCAAACCCUUGGGUUCUCUCAAUGAGCUUCAUGAGGUAGUCACCUGAAAUGGUUUUCACUCACAGGUGUGCCGUGUCAGGGUUAAUUAUGGAAUUUCUUGCUUAUUAAU